rnacentral:rRNA from 1 species
GAUGAACGCUAGCGGCAGGCUUAACACAUGCAAGUCGAGGGGUAUAGGUUUCGGACCUAGAGACCGGCGCACGGGUGCGUAACGCGUAUGCAAUCUACCUUUCACAGAGGGAUAGCCCAGAGAAAUUUGGAUUAAUACCUCAUAGUAUUAUAGAAUGGCAUCAUUUUAUAAUUAAAGUCACAACGGUGAAAGAUGAGCAUGCGUCCCAUUAGCUAGUUGGUAUGGUAACGGCAUACCAAGGCAACGAUGGGUAGGGGUCCUGAGAGGGAGAUCCCCCACACUGGUACUGAGACACGGACCAGACUCCUACGGGAGGCAGCAGUGAGGAAUAUUGGUCAAUGGGCGCAAGCCUGAACCAGCCAUGCCGCGUGCAGGACGAAGGCCUUCGGGUUGUAAACUGCUUUUGUACGGAACGAAACGGUUCAGAUUAAUACUCUGAACUAAUGACGGUACCGUAAGAAUAAGCACCGGCUAACUACGUG